ACGGGGUGCAGCAGGCGCGAAAACUUCACAAUGUGCGAAAGCACGAUGAGGGAAUCCCAAGUGCUUGCUCGUAAGAGUAAACUGUUUCUAUGUUUAAAACGCAUGGAGAGUAAGAGCUGGGUAAGACGGGUGCCAGCCGCCGCGGUAAUACCUGCAGCUCGAGUGGUGGCCGCUAUUAUUGGGCCUAAAACGUCCGUAGCCGGUUUAAUAAAUGCCCGGGUAAAUCGUGUAGCUUAACUAUACGAAUUCCGGGUAGACUGUUAAACUUGAGACCGGGAGAGGCUAGAGGUACUCCUGGGGUAGAGGUGAAAUUCUGUAAUCCUGAGGGGACCACCAGUGGCGAAGGCGUCUGGCUAGAACGGGUCUGACGGUGAGGAACGAAGCCCUGGGGCGCGAACCGGAUUAGAUACCCGGGUAGUCCAGGGUGUAAACGCUGCUUGCUUGAUGUUAGUUGGGCUCCGAGCCCAACUAGUGUCGGAGAGAAGUUGUUAAGCAAGCUGCCUGGGAAGUACGGUCGCAAGGCUGAAACUUAAAGGAAUUGGCGGGGGAGCACAGCAACGGGUGGAGCGUGCGGUUUAAUUGGAUUCAACGCCGGAAAACUCACCGGAGGCGACGGUUACAUGAAGGCCAG
rnacentral:rRNA from 1 species